AGAACUUCAUGUGAUCAAACUGAUAAAAAGACAGAAUGUUACAAGAUCCAAGAGGUGGCUUCUCGCAAUGUCUCUUUUGAAAGAAAACUCAAGAAGUUGGAGGUUAAGGUGGAAGCCAAAGAAGCGAGGAUCAAGGCACUCGAGACUUGUGACUCCGUCUUCCAUGGUUGCAUGAAGGAUGUGCAUGAAUUUUUAGAUCAGGUCAAGGCGUCGACCGAGCAACAUUAUGCUGAGUUGAAAAAGGAUCUUGCAGACGCUCAAAAGGAGAUUCGUGAUCUUAGGAAGCAUCUUGAGCUGGAGAUGAAGGCUCACGAGGAAGAGACUCAAAGGCUGAAUACUUUAAGGGCGAGAGAGAUUCGAAAUACCUAGAAGAGAAAUCACCAAGCUGAUGUGACAAAAAAGAAGGUUGUCCAAUUUCUUGCCGACUCUAUGUCUGUAACACCCCCGAUCCGGAUUAAAUUAAAGUUAAUGAGUUUGUCGUGCACCAAAAAAACAAGAACAUGCACGACAAACUAAAGAACUUUAACCAGAUCGAAGAUGCUACUGACUGUUCCCAAACAGGUUUCCUAGCGGUUUCAAGUUAAGGCUUUGCAACCCGAGUUUGAAACCG
rnacentral:lncRNA from 1 species